UUGACCUCGGAUCAGUUAGGA
rnacentral:rRNA from 1 species